UCAUCACAUGCUACCCAAUACACCUCUCACAAGAGUAAAAGUUUUCAAAUUGUGCUGAGGGGUCAUAUAGACCAUGAACACAUAGUUUUAACGGUAUUCAUACCGCAAAACAAAACAUUACCUGGUAUGUUUACAAUCACAAAGAAGGUAAACUACCAUUAAUAGUACUUUAGGUGAUUAGCCUAUUGUACCCCUACGUCAUGCAUAACGUAUUAAUCAUACCUAGCGAAUAUUUACGCUAUUAGAUUGGAUCAUUUAUCCAAACAACAUUGUUCACCUCAGUCUUAUCAUAGGAUUCCGCACCAAACAAUUUGGUUCGGGAAAUUUCUUUCAAUGAACACUUAGAGUUUUCAUAAACAUUAGUCUAGCUGAUUCAAAUAGCAUAGACUCAUAUCAAUAAUUCAAUUCAAUCGAAUUAUUUAGAUGUAGCCAAACCCCGUUGGCAAAUUAAACUUUUUGAAAACAUUUUCGAGAAUGACGUCAUGAUGCCGUACUGUAUUAACAAUCCGUUGAGG
rnacentral:lncRNA from 1 species